rnacentral:rRNA from 1 species
AUGCACGCUUGCGGCGUGCCUAAUACCUGCAAGUCGCGCGAACAGACGAGGAGCUUGCUCCUCUGACGUUAGCGGCGGACGGGUGAGUAACACGUGGAUAACCUACCUAUAAGACUGGGAUAACUUCGGGAAACCGGAGCUAAUACCGGAUAAUAUAUUGAACCGCAUGGUUCAAUAGUGAAAGACGGUUUUGCUGUCACUUAUAGAUGGAUCCGCGCCGCAUUAGCUAGUUGGUAAGGUAACGGCUUACCAAGGCAACGAUGCGUAGCCGACCUGAGAGGGUGAUCGGCCACACUGGAACUGAGACACGGUCCAGACUCCUACGGGAGGCAGCAGUAGGGAAUCUUCCGCAAUGGGCGAAAGCUUGACGGAGCAACGCCGCGUGAGUGAUGAAGGUCUUCGGAUCGUAAAACUCUGUUAUUAGGGAAGAACAAAUGUGUAAGUAACUAUGCACGUCUUGACGGUACCUAAUCAGAAAGCCACGGCUAACUACGUG